UGACCUCGGAUCAGACGUGAAUACCCGC
rnacentral:rRNA from 5 species